rnacentral:piRNA from 1 species
UAUUGUGACAUAGCAAGUGUUCCCUUUGA